GAAAAAUCAUUUUCUGAAUCGAGAAGAGAAGACAGUAGUGCCGGUGCCAGAACCGUCAGCGGGUUCAGGAUGAGCCAUAGAAGCCAAGAGAGGAGAGCUAUGAGGAUCAUAGAACCCUACUCGAGUCCUGGGAAUGUAAUUCAGAUGAUGGCCCUAUAGAAAGAGAAGAUAAGUUGCAGUAAUCAAGACGAUGGUCCCAGAGAAAGAGAAGAUAAGUCCCUAUGGGCAUAGCUGUUAUCUCGACCUUAAUAUUCUUCAAGAAACAUCUUGGGAAAAUUCUUUAUACACAAGGCAAUGAAUUUUUUUGUUAUGGUUUUUCCUUUUUCA